GGUCACACCCGUUCCCAUGCCGAACACGGAAGUUAAGCUCUUCAGCGCCGAUGGUAGUCGGGGGUUUCCCCCUGUGAGAGUAGGACGCCGCCAAGC
rnacentral:rRNA from 3 species